AGUCUCAAUGAUAAUUCCACUGGCCAUACAUACGUGAUUCAAGAGUCAUAAACUGGAGGACCUGGGCUCAAGUCCUGGCUCUGUCUCUAACUCACCACCCUUAUUCUCAAGGACUUCAUCAUCUCUGUACAAGAAAGGGGUUUAUACUUGCGUUCCGAGUAUUUUCUCUGUGCGUGGAACUGUGCUAAACACAAGGAAGCGUGAGAAAAGAUCCAUCAAGAAGUUCACAAAUUGGCUACAGAAACAGAGGAGGAAAUUCAGCCUGAAAGGAGAAACAACUUUCCAAAAGCCACAGAGAGUUGGUAGCUUAAUUGAGGUCAGAACCAAAGAGAAUCUGAUGUCCAGAACUCCUGUGAUACCACACCCAUUCAUGAACCUUGAGUCUGACAUGGCCAGGAAGAUACAGCCUCAGGGGGAAAGAGCACAUAACUGGAAGCAGACACAGUCCCUCGACCUUUACUGCACACGUAUUUAUCUCAGAGAGCGUCACUGAGUGCAUUGUUCCAGAGCAAGACGAGCCCAUCUGCGUGGGAGAAACUCUAGUCUGCCCCCAAAGAUCAUCUCUGACUGAGAGAAAGAUUCAAUCACUCCCUCUAACCCAAACUCUCCAAAACUCCAUUUCCUAUUAUGUCUCAACUACCAAAUUUAACCCACCCGCAUCUCAAGAUUAGAUCUGUGAGCUCACAAAAGCUCAAUCACUCAAUUUAGAGUAGGGAAAAUCUUAUCCUCUCCAAACAAAGUGAAAUGUGACAUAACCCAGUUGCUAGGAUUAUGUCUCACUCAGGAAGAAGGAGAGGAACAGGGAGAAAAAUGGGUGGGUCAUUCAUUACAGGGAAUUUUCCAGGAUAAUUUGAGUAGUGUGGCCCUCCAAAAUCAAUGUUCCAGUCCUUAAAACAGUGCUCAAGUCAAGGUCCAGGCUUUAGGAGAGCCAUGAGAGUGAAGAAGUCUCUUCUGCCCUUGCCCUGAAUCCCUGAGUAAUCUCUAGGUACAUUCUGAUUCCUCCUCGGAUGACUAGUAUCAAUGAUGAUCUUUAUACCCAGGCCCAGGGAAUCCUAAAAGAAAGUACCAGUCUCCAAAAUCUACUUGAUUAGGCCAAUGUAGAAUAUGGCACAAUUCUACCUAAUCAAGAAUCCUUUUCCUCUUCUGAGGCUUCAUUUGCAACAUCCUGGAAUUUCAUAGGAAGCUGACUUGGGAAAUAUCUAAAGUCCCUUCCAACAUCUUUGGUUGGUGUUUCAAUAACUGAAAGACAGUUUGGCAUACCAAAAGGGUCAGGGACUCUGGCCUUUUUCAAUUUCCAAUUCUGCCCUGGACAAGCAAUUUUACUUCGCUGAACACCAGUUUUCUCUUCUUUAAAAAAGGCAGUGACAAUUUAUAGAUCACAGAAUUUGCAAGGAUUUGAGAAAAUAUAUUUGAUGUCCUUAAAACAGUGUCUGGUAUACAGACCUACACAGUAAAUGAUCAGUAAUCAGUCUGAGCAGGUCUUUGGACUUCGGCUAAUUAAUGACUGGUCUCAAGAAUAAGACCUCUAUGGAUAAAAUCUUAAGAGAGACUUU